rnacentral:rRNA from 1 species
GUGGGGAAUAUUGGACAAUGGGGGGAACCCUGAUCCAGCCAUGCCGCGUGUGUGAAGAAGGCCUUUUGGUUGUAAAGCACUUUAAGCGAGGAGGAGGCUACAGAGAUUAAUACUCUUGGAUAGUGGACGUUACUCGCAGAAUAAGCACCGGCUAACUCUGUGCGAGCAGCCGCGGUAAUACAGAGGGUGCAAGCGUUAAUCGGAUUUACUGGGCGUAAAGAGCGCGUAGGUGGCCAAUUAAGUCAAAUGUGAAAACCCCGAGCUUAACGUGGGAAUUGCAUUCGAUACUGGUUGGCUAGAGUAUGGGAGAGGAUGGUAGAAUUCCAGGUGUAGCGGUGAAAUGCGUAGAUAUCUGGAAGAAUACCGAUGGCGAAGGCAGCCAUCUGGCCUAAUACUGACACUGAGGUGCGAAAGCAUGGGGAGCAAACAGGAUUAGAAACCCGGGUAGUCC